GCGCGCUUGACUGGGGGUCAAGAGG
rnacentral:tRNA from 1 species